AAGAGUUUAAUAAAUUAAGUUUUUUAAUUUAAGAAAAAUUUACAAAACAAAUAGAAAAUUCGGUGGUGACGAAAAAUAUUACAUAUUUGAUAUUUCAUUUCCUUCGAUUCGAACGCAUAUUAACCGUUCAUCUUUGAGAUGAGAUAGAGGAUAGAAAUUAGGGUUAAAGAUGUUACACACUAUAAUACUAUCCGGUAGUUCUUCAUUCAAUCCUGUUAUUGAGAGCGUUUCUUAGAUUUUGCAUUAUCUCUUCGUUUCUUUGAAUCUUGUUAUUGACGGUGUUUCUUAGAUUCUGUUAAUUUUUCGUGAAAUUGCAACUUUAAAUCUUUUGGGCGACAAAUUCUUGUGUAAUUCCAAAUCUCUCCUCUACACAAUAAUUGAAAUCGUUCUCUCCGUCAAUUUGAUCUAUAUCUCUCUCUUUUUUUUUUUUCAUCCAUUCUACCCAUAUCUCUAUUAUACGAUCCAGAUCUACUUCUCAGAAGGGAAUAACUGAUGAAGCUGUUAAGUGAUGGCUGAAUGUUCUCCACAACUAGCAAGGUAAAAAGACUUAUCCCAAUCUGUUGCACAAAUUUCUCCCUAAAAUAGUAGGAUCCAUGCCAAUUUAGAUGAUAUUACUUCCUGGUUGCAGGAAAUAGUAAGCGAAAAUGUAAUCUGGGUUUAACUAUGGUAACAAAUGAAAAGAGAAAAAUUAUCAGGUAUGAAGCCUGUUUGGUAGAUGCAAGUGGUAUUGUUGGGCGUGAAGGUGAUAAGAAGGUAUUGCUUCAAAAGCUUUUGGGGGGUGAAGAUGAAUCAUGUAAUCGAAAUUUUAGUGUUGUGUUCAUAGUUGGUGUGGGUGGAGUUGGUAAAACCACUCUACUUUUGUAUGGUGAAGUGGGAGGGAAGGAUCACUUCAAACUCAGGGAUUUGGAUUGUGUUUCUGAUGAGAUCAAGAUUUUCAAUGUAAGCAAAGUUAUGGAUCAAUUGGUGACGGAGGAAAACAAGGAAUUUGUAGAUUUGAAUCUACUUGAAGAAAUGCUUAAAGAGAAGCUCGUGAAGAAAUGUUUUAUAAUGGUUUUAGAUGAUGUAUGGAAUGAAAGCUAUUUGUCUUUGGCUUUAAGAACACUUGGAAGGUUAUUGAGGACAAAAACGUAUGAGAAGGAAUGGAAGGAAAGAGAGAUGAGAUUGUUCCGGUUCCUAGACUAAUUUCCGGGAUCUUUCUGCAUCUUUGAAGCAGUUGUUUGCAUAUUGCCCUGUGUUCCCCAAGGACUAUAAGUUUGAUAAGGAGGAGUUGGUCCUAUUGUGGAUGGCAGAAGGGUUUUUGCAACAACAAUCAAGAUCAUUCUUUCUACAUGCGUCUAAUGACAGAUUGUUGUUUGUGAUGCAUGACCUCAUAAAUGACUUGGCCACAUCUGUUGCUGGAGAUUUUUUUUCAAGGUUAGGCAUUGAGAUAAAAAAGGAAAUUAGGAAAGAAGCUUUGGAAAAGUACCUCCAUAUGUCAUUUGUUUGUGAGGAUUACAUGGUUUACAAAAGGUUCGAGGCAUUCAAAAGAGCUAAAAGCUUAAGAACAUUUUUAGGAGUAUCAUUUGAGGUGAAAGAAAAUUGGGAAACAUUUUACUUAUCAAAUAAGAUCCUCACCAACUUACUUCAUGAGUUACCGCUGCUAAGGGUCCUAAAUUUGAGUCAUCUUAGCAUAAGCGAGGUACCUGAAUUCAUUGGUAGUUUGAAGCAGUUGCAGUAUCUUAAUUUAUUUCGAACUAGUAUCACACAUUUACCAGAAAAUAUUUGCAAUCUUUAUAAUUCACAAACGUUGAUCGUUUUUGGCUGUCACGGACUAAUUAAGUAGCCCGAAAGUUUUUCAAACCUUAAAAUGUUGCGGCAUUUUGACAUUGGGGAUACUCCAUUUUUGGAUAAGAUUCCAUUCCAUUAGGGAUUGAUGAGUUGAAAAACCUACAAACUCUCAUCUAGAGAAACAAACAUGUAUAAACAUGGAUGCUUCCUUUCCACCUGGGCGCUGGCCUCCAAAGUUGUGUUUCCUUAAAAUAGGUUUGAAGAUGCCCAUCUCAGAGUGGGGACUACAAAAUUUUCCUUCAUCUCUUACUACUCUUUGCAUAAAUGGAUUUUAGAAACUGGAAUUGUUUUCAAUGGGACUCCAACACCUCACAUCCCUCCAACAUCUCAACAUUAACAACUGCCCAUAAUGUUGUUGGCUUCACUUAUGAUUUUUGGAAUUAGUAGAUGCCCAAAUUUGAAAGAAAGGAGUAAUAGAGGAGGCUACUAUUGGCCCCUUAUCCCCUGCCAUAACACAAGUGAGGUGGAAUGACAAGGUUAUUGUGAAGACUCAAUUGCUAUUGGAAUCAGGUGGCUAUUUCAAUGAAAGAGCUGUGAAACCUCAAAGCCUUGGAGUUGAAUUAUCCAUGAAUACAAGGAAUCAUGCAGAGGUUGCAGGCAAUGAAAAGAGCCCUGCAAGGAGGAAGAGAACUUGGUCAAUUACUAAACUUUGCAUAUAAUAUGGUUUUAAGAAAUUGAAUUAGUUUUAAUGACAUAAGUAUAUAUGUAUAUUGUCGAAAGAUCUGUUUGUGUCUCAAUAUAAAGUUGCUAACAUGGACAAUAAAUUGCUUUUAUUUUCUGCUGAUUAUAUUUAUUGAAUAUGAUUAAGUUGUAUAAAAAAAUUCAGCUUUUGUGUGUA